UGGACAUUUAUUUUCAAGCAAUUUCUUCUUACAGCGAAGAUAACAACUACUGAAUAUCCUAGAGAAAAUCAGUAGUUCUCUGUGUAUCCUAUGCAAGUAAAAUGGGUGUAUCACCCCACUACUGACAUUU
rnacentral:snoRNA from 10 species